rnacentral:lncRNA from 1 species
AUGUCCAGAUGGGUUUUGAGUAUCUCCAGAGAAGGAGACUCCACAACCUCUCUGGGCAACCUGUUCCAGUGCUCCGUCACCCUCACGGUAAAAAUGCCCGCUCCUGGCUCUGUGCCCGGCCAAGGCAGCCUUGCCUCUGCUGGGGAGGCAGCACUGCUGUCGGGCGCGCGUUUCGGUGCCCCCAGCGCAGCCCGUGGCUCAGCCCCAGGCGCGGGYGGCUCAGCGGUCUCGCAGGCCGUGCCGGGGGACACCCGCGCACCGCGGCGCAGGGCGAGCGGGCGGCACCGCACUUUAACUGGGGACAGGUGUUGGCUCGCACAGCCUGGCAGCGGGCCCGCAGGCAGCAGGUGGGGCCGGCGGAGGCCGAGGACGGAGCGGGAGGCAGGGUCGGUGCCGGCGCUGCCCGCGGCGCCCCGGCGCUGCCUGCCUCCGUCAGCGUCCCGCCUACCCGGGAGCCAUGCUGCUGCAGUCGCGCAGGAGACGGUGGGAAGAGCUUGUCCCUGCUCGCCUGCGCUCGCCUCCCCGCCGGCACGGCCUGCCCGCUUGGGCCUCCGGCACAGGCGCCUGCGGCGGCCACGCUUGCCGGGUGGCAGGCAGGUGGGUGAUCCCUGCCCCUCUCCGUGGCUGCCCGGAGGGGUGGGGGUGCCCGCUUUUCCCUGGGGAGAAGCUUUCCCGGCCGGGCAGGCUGCCCGAUCUGCCCAAAGGGCACCCGAAACUUUCUGGGCGCUGGCGGUGCCUGGGCAGGGCUGCUUCCCGCUCCCUUGCCCCCUGCGCUGCCCCGGGGGGCCACUGCGUGCAGGGGGCGUGGGGGCACAGGAGGUGAGGUCUCCCCGCUUCUUCCUGCCUGGAUCAAAGCCCCGCGACCUGGCCCUACRGGUGAGCCUCCCUGCAGGGUGCUGCAGCUCUUCUCUGCGCUUUUGGGGGGAGCACCGCUUGCUGCCUGCUUCUGCGCGGCCCUGGGGACACAGGGCUGGGGGACACAGCGGGGAUGCCCCUGGCAUGACAUGCUGCUCUGCGGUGGCACCCCCCCUAUCCGGGCCCCUGGUUCCUCCUCUGGGAGGGAGACCAGGACCAGGACCAGGGUGGCCAAAGGGGGCUUUCCAGGCUCCUGCUGACACUCCAGCAGCUCCUCGUCCUCUUCCAGCUCCUCCGAGCUCAGAGUUUGCUUCCUGCACUGCAUCAGCCUGCGCCUUUCCCCUUGGCUCCUUGCUCCUCCGUGUAUGCGGGCUGUAUCUCCCAGGCAAGCACUGCUCCUUUUGGGGAAGGGAUCUCCUCAGGCAGGAGGUGCUGUGGGACUCUGGCCCUGUGCCAAGCAGAGGGGCAGGGCAAGAUGGCUUGCAGAAAGGGAAACUGGGGARAGAGGUCCUGCUUCCACCUCUGGCUUGGCCUGACUGCCUUCUGGCAGUGGCCAUGGAUUAUAGGAGUGGGGAAACGGGGCAGAGCCCAGCAGGACAUGCCGGGAAGGGCAGUUCUGCAUCUCUGGGCUCCUGGUCCAGUCCCCCUGGGGUUUUGGGCAGAGAUUAA